AACGGAUACAAGCAAAACACUUAAUACAUUUUAUAUAUUUUAUGCUGCCAGGAAGUCGGCGCAAAGAUCACACAGCAUUUGCUGUUUGUUUGCCCGGCCAAGUCACUUGCUAAAUUCAAAGCAAACAAGAAUUAUAAACGAUGAAUUUAAUUUGGAGCUUGUUUUCUAUUUGCUGUUCGCCUUUGACCUGACGCUUUGAAAAUGUCAGGUUAAUAAAUUUCUUUAAAAUUAACAUUUUUAAUAACUUAAUAACCAGAAAAAUCCAUAUUUUAGGCAUUUCGACUAAUACGAAAAUCUUUUGAUGAUGCAUCACGUGCUAUGCAAAUUAAGAUGGCCUAGUACAUCAGUGGCAAGCAAAAUCAAAUCAACAUCGGAGAAAAUUACUUGCAGGCUACCAAAAUGUGAUUUUGAUUUCAAAAUUUAACUAAAACGAAUGUAUACUUACUUUACCCUAUUUUGACUUUGACUCAAUGUUGGUUACUUUCUACGAUGGAUUUUGGUAACUUCGACCAGGCUGGGAACUUUACUCAGCUGAUGACGUUUGUGCAACCGAUGGCGAAAACUGUUGGAAAUGAGUUCGUGCCGUUGGCAGUAGAUAUUUUCCUGGUUAUUGUUGCUGCUGAUGACGAUGCUGCGGGUUGUCUGUGCAUUUUAAUCAGUCUAAGUGCCUGGCAAAUUCCAUGGAAGGAAUGAGAAUGGCAGAACCAGUCUGAAACUGUGUGUUGACUGAGGCAGAGGCAGAGGGACUUCCACACACACAUCGCCUUCAUCAAAUGGUCAUGCAUAAAUGCAAGGGAAAAUGAGCAGGCUCCAGUACUCACACUUUUCUCAGCCCGACUAUAAUGCCUCGCCUAAUCCAGGUGACAUAUUUUUAAAGUCCAAACUGAAAGCAAGGGAUAGCUGAAGUUACAAAGACUAUGAAUCUCCUGUCAUUUUGAAUCUAUAUCUAUACACAUACCGAUCUGAUUAGACACUGGGCCAACAAUUUAUUUCUUUCAGUCGAAUGGACGCGUUUGAUGUGUUAAAUGUUUGACGAUAGCGAAUUCAAUAAAUGAUAA